GUGAUAAGAUUGUUAAAUUAUUUUUAUAAAAAAUCUUAAAAAACAUAAUUUAUAUAUUAAAAAAAAUCUAACACAAAUAUUAAUAUCUACAAUUAUCCCGUGCAUAGCAUGGGUGAUAGGCUAGUUGUACUUAAAGAGAAUGUCUAUAUUUUUUUGGGGGGACUUGAAUAACAAGUGCUAGAAAAUACAGGAUCCCCAUCAGAGGAUGGUGCUGGCACUGACGAAACUCUGUGGUAGUGCCUAAUCAUUACCGAGGAAGACAUGCUGGAAAUACGUUGUGGUGGUGCUCUUGAGGCAAUCAGAAUUAGCUGUGCAGGGUUCCCCACUAGACGAAUGUUCUAUGAGUUUCUCCUCCAUUUUGGUGUUCUUUCUCCAGAAGUUUUGCAUGGAAACUAUGAUGACAAGGUUGCAUGCCAGAUGAUUCUGGAUAAAGUGGGCUUGAAAGGUCAUCAGAUAGGCAAGACAAAGGUCUUCCUGCGAGCUGGGCAGAUGGCUGAGGUGGAUGCGACUAGCUGAGGUUCUUGGAAAUGCGGCCAACAAAAUUCAAAGGCAAAUUCAUACUUACAUUGCUCGCAAGGAGUUCAUUUCAAUACGUAAAGCUGCUAUUCAGUUGCAUUCAUGUUGGCGUGGUAACUUUAUGAUUCCCUUCUACAUUAUGCCUUUUUGAGUUUGUUACUUUCUAGUUUUUCAUUGAAUGUUCAGUCUUACAUGUGAGAUAAGUGUAGCAUUGUUGUUCAAAGAAGUUACUGUAAAAUUGCUUAGUCAUUUCUUUAGGUUUUGGGCUUGGUGACUUAGGAAUUCCUUGUCGGCAAAUUACAUUAGAAGUCUAGUUAUAUUGGAAGCAUUAAUGGAUGAAAAUGUUUGGUGUGCAUAUAUCUGCAAGUGUCUAGGGUGUUGACAAGUAAAUGUAAUUUAAACUCAUAUAUGAAUAUACGACAGUAGUUAAGCAUCCUUGGACGAAAAUUGUACUAAGAUAGGUGACCUCCUGGGAUUACAAAAUGUUGGAUAGCUAAGAAACAACGCGUGUAGAAAUUGAGUGUAGAUGAGAUGAGAAUGCUUAGGUGGAUAUGUGGUAAGACUAAUGGCAUUUUUUAAAACACCAUGAAGGUAAGAUGAUGCCCAUAUCCGCGGCGAAUGUUAUAAACAUCAUCUGAACUUUUAACAGUGUUUUUCUGGUCUAUUGUGGCACUUUUGAAACACCACUAAUUCUGAAGUUUCUGGUAUUGACGUAGCAUUUCCCUUGUUUGUAGUCCUUUUUUUUUUUUUUAAACUUCAGCUUAGUCUGGUAGUGAUUUAUAUAUAUAUAUAAAUUUUCUAAGUUCAUGCUUGUGCACAAUGAGAACAACUCACAUUCUGACUUUGUUUGAAUGGGAAAUAGUAUCCUAUAAAACAAAUAAAAAAAUUAACUUCAGAACUUGACUUUGAUUGAAUGGAAAAUAAUAGUUUGUUAUCUUAUCUGUUUUGAUAUUUAUAGUAAACUAAGAAUCAUUCAAAACAUAAUUUAGGAAGAUGCAUAUAUUUUAAAUCUAAUUGUGCUUUGUUAAUGUUUUGGUUUUGAAAGUCUGUAAACUUAAUCUAGACUUGGUUGUUUUGUUUGGCUCAGUACUUUGAAGUUUAGUUCCAAGAGAUGCAUUUCGUCAAACAAUUAGGAAUUGUAACUGUUUUCCUAUAAUUUCUUGGCAACCAAACGGAAGUCUACUCUCCUUUAUUAUGAGUUAUAUGAGUUUCAGGUUGGGAAAGCUGGUGGAGUGAAAUGGAAAGCAAUUUCUAAAUCUGGAAGAUCUACUUUCACUUGCGAGCAACAACCAAAAUGAAUUUUGAAAGUUGUGCUCAAAAUUAUUAUGUUAACUGUUUUGAAUCACAGUAAUCCAUAUUGAGGUACUCCACGUUUAGCUGAUUAGUCCAUUUCUGUUGAAAGUGUUGUAGUUUAUUUUUUUGGUUGAUAUUACAUCCUUAGAACUGAUUUUAUUUUUAUGUUUUAUUAAUUAUUUUGUUUGUUUUGUGUUUUUUGAAUCAUAUGCUCACUAACUGCUAUUUUCUUGUUGCAUAUUGGAGAAAGCUCCUUAGGUGGCAAAGCCUAUGAAGAAGAAGGCAGAUAUGAGAAAGCAAUGGAAGAGUUUAACAGCAAACUCAAUGGCAAUGGAGAAUUGAAGGCUGCUGAAUCUGGCAAAUCACAUUUUGAGGUCCACGAUGAAGCUGAGCAGGAAGCCUUCUUAGGUUAAACAGAAAGAGUUUAGAACAGACUUAACAACAAAGGGAACUCAGUCCCUCCUAGAACUAGCAGCCACCAUGUCUGCUACUAGUGCAGAAUGAAGAGCAUUGGGUGGCUCAUCUAAGAAAACAAAAUGCUCAGAUUGGCUGGCUCCUAUGUUGGCGAGAGCAUCAGCGCAUUUGUUGGCUUCUCUUGGGAUGUAAGAAAUUCUGCAUUUGCAUCUUCUCAGGAGGAAGUUGGCAUCCUCAAUCAAGGCUCUGUAAGGACAAGAACUGGCAGCACCAUCUGAGAUCAGCUGCCUUGUUUCUUGGGAAUCUGUUUCAAGCUCAGUUUUAUUUUGAUUAUUUCAAGUUAAACUAACACAUUGAAGUGCAUUAAAUUUUCAAGUCAAGUUUGAUAUGUGUUUGCAGGUUUUGUUGUGGGAGUAGUUGAUAUGAUCGAGUAGGUGAUGUUUGGAGCCAAAUUGAGAUUAUGUUGCUCUUUUUUUUUUUGAGGACUUAAAUUUUUUAGUAUGAUGUAUUUUAAGAAUGGUUAAUGGAUAUUUGUUUUACAUAUAUGAAAGUUUAUAUUUUGUUUGCACACUA